CUUUCAAUCUUUCUUUUUUCCUGGACUUGUAGUUCCCAUCACAUUGGAAGCUGCCAAGGUUCCCAUAGUGAUAAGGUCCACAUCUUGUUCCUGUGCUGCAGGGAGAGCCCUUUGGAACCACUUGGUGGGGCUUCUUUAUCUAAGUGCCCGUUUCAGCACCUCGAACUACAAGAUUGUGCCAUUACAUGUGUCUUGCACUGACAGACUGCAGACCUGGCACAGGCCUCGGACCCAGGGCCCCUUCCUGACCCGGGUGUGAUGUCUGUUGGAGA